rnacentral:rRNA from 1 species
GUACCGUCAUUAUCUUCCCUAUUGAAAGAGCUUUACAAUAAAUAUAAACUGUCAUCACUCACUUGGUAUUGCUGGAUCAAACUUUCGUUCAUUGUCC